AGACUGCAGGUCCACAAUUGAUCCUAAAUGGGAAAAACAAUGAAGGCGCCCAUUGGAGCUUUAAUCGCGUUCUUAUGGCUACAACUGGACUGUGUCAGUUUUGGAAACGAGGUGGAGCAGAGUCCUUCUACCCUGAGUGUCCAGGAGGGAAACACUGCUGUUAUCACCUGCACUUACACAGACACAGCUUCAGAGUCUUUCCCUUGGUAUAAGCAAGAACCUGGAAAAGGUCCCCAGCUCCUUGUAGCUACUCAUUCAAAUAUGGGUGAAAAAAAAGACCAGAGACUGACUGUUUUAUUGAAUAAGACCGCCAAACGUCUCUCCCUGCACAUCGCAACCAUCCAGCCUGGAGACUCAGCUGUCUGCUUCUGUGCAGCAAGGACACAGCGCUGCCCAGGCAGCCGCUACCUGUACUCAUACUUGUGACGGGCAGCCCCCUUCUCUGGUGCAACCUUCAAAGUAGCAUCUGUCAUAUUGUUUGUCUGCAAGUGGAAACUGAUGUGUUAGACAAGCAUAGAAUAAGAAGG